UUCCAGACUCCUACGGGAGGCAGCAGUGGGGAAUAUUGCACAAUGGGCGAAAGCCUGAUGCAGCAACGCCGCGUGAAGGAAGAAGGGUUUCGGCUCGUAAACUUCUAUCAACAGGGACGAAAGAAAUGACGGUACCUGACUAAGAAGCCCUGGCUAACUACGUGCCAGCAGCCGCGGUAAUACGUAGGGGGCAAGCGUUAUCCGGAUUUACUGGGUGUAAAGGGAGCGUAGACGGCGGUGCAAGCCAGAUGUGAAAGCCCGGGGCGCAACCCCGGGACUGCAUUUGGAACUGUGCUGCUAGAGUGUCGGAGAGGCAGGCGGAAUUCCUAGUGUAGCGGUGAAAUGCGUAGAUAUUAGGAGGAACACCAGUGGCGAAGGCGGCUUACUGGACUGUAACUGACGUUGAGGCUCGAAAGCGUGGGGAGCAAACAGGAUUAGAUACCCUUGUA
rnacentral:rRNA from 1 species